CCGAAAAAAAGUAGCGAAAAUCAAAAGAGAAACAAAUUGAUAGUUUAAUAACUGAAAAUGUAUAUAUUUUGGAGAAAUCUAUUUCAGAGAACAGAAACAACGAUUCUU